GGGAGGAGCGGGGCGGUGAGAGCCUGGCUAGGCAGGCUGGAAACAGUAGCUCUUAACGGUCCCCCGCCCGUUGGUGGCAAGGCGGCUGGACUGGAAUCCCAGCAGGCGACAUGCGAGGAGGCGGGCAGCCCAGGAGGGUUGGACACGGCAAUGUGGACCUCGCCGCUUCCACAACGAUGCUGGCUACUGAUCGCGUGCACUUCCUUGCCAAAGAAAAGAAAUUAAUGUUAUGACUGGAUGAAGACAAUUGUGAAGAAACUGCACUUUGAGGUUGUCUAUCUCUGUAUUCUGAUGGAAAAGCGUGGAGUUUAGAAGCACUGCUCACUCCUUCAGUUUCUAACAAGUUUGAGACUAUGGUUAGGUGGUGAGGAAGGCAGGCUCAGCACCCAAGCCUUGGGGAGACGCAGAAAGGGCCCAUCCCAGGCACUCAGGUGGAGCAGGUGGUCUGUCCUAGAGAACGUUCCAUGUGGAUUUGAGAAGAAUAUAUAUUCUCAUGUUGGAUGCAGUGCUGUGCAUAUGUUUGUUAGGUUUAGUUGUUUUAUGUUGUUGUUCAUGUUUUCUAUUUUUUAUCUUCUGUCUACUUGUUCUAUCCAUUAAUAUAAGUGAAGCAUUAAAGUCUCCAACUAUUACUGUUGAA
rnacentral:lncRNA from 1 species